rnacentral:rRNA from 1 species
GACGAACGCUGGCGGCGCGCCUAACACAUGCAAGUCGAACGGAGCUUAGAGAGCUUGCUUUUUAAGCUUAGUGGCGAACGGGUGAGUAACGCGUGAGUAACCUGCCCUAGAGUGGGGGACAACAGUUGGAAACGACUGCUAAUACCGCAUAAGCCCACGGUACCGCAUGGCACUGAGGGAAAAGGAUUUAUUCGCUUUAGGAUGGACUCGCGUCCAAUUAGCUAGUUGGUGAGGUAACGGCCCACCAAGGCGACGAUUGGUAGCCGGACUGAGAGGUUGAACGGCCACAUUGGGACUGAGACACGGCCCAGACUCCUACGGGAGGCAGCAGUGGGGGAUAUUGCACAAUGGGGGAAAACCCUGAUGCAGCGACGCCGCGUGAGUGAUGAAGUAUUUCGGUAUGUAAAAACUCUAUCAGCAGGGAAGAUAAAUGACGGUAUCUGACUAAGAAGCACCGGCU